GCGCCGUUGGUGAAGUGGUUAACACGCUAGUUUGUGGCACUAGUACGCAAGGGUUCGAUUCCCUUACGACGCC
rnacentral:tRNA from 1 species